CCUACGGGUGGCAGCAGUGAGGAAUAUUGGUCAAUGGGCGUAAGCCUGAACCAGCCAAGUCGCGUGAGGGAUGAAGGUUCUAUGGAUCGUAAACCUCUUUUAUAAGGGAAUAGAGUGUGGGACGUGUCCUGUUUUGUAUGUACCUUAUGAAUAAGGAUCGGCUAACUCCGUGCCAGCCGCCGCGGUAAUACGGAGGAUCCGAGCGUUAUCCGGAUUUAUUGGGUUUAAUGGGUGCGUAGGCGGCCUUUUACGUCAGCGGUUCAAGUCUGUGGCUCAACCAUCGAAGUGCCGUUGAAACUGGGAGGCUUGAGUAUGUUUGAGGCAGGCGGAAUGCGUGGUGUAGCGGUGAAAUGCUUAGAUAUCACGCAGAACCCCGAUUGCGAAGGCAGCCUGCCAAGCCAUGACUGACGCUGAUGCACGAAAGCGUGGGGAUCAAACAGGAUUAUAUACCCGGGUAGUC
rnacentral:rRNA from 1 species